rnacentral:lncRNA from 1 species
CAGGUGGAGCCAGGCAGAGGCAGAGGUGAGAGUUGGGCUGUGCUCAGGAGAGAGGCUGUGGGGCCAGUGAGGUGGAAAGGUAGAGAUUCUGAUGCGGCUUGCAGCGGGAAUCCCGAGUGCUCUCCACAGAGAACCUCUGCACUGUCUGGGUCGCUGGGAAUUUGAGUCCUCUUACUGGCGAGUGGUGACCGACUGGAGAGUGGAGGCCUUGCCCUUGGUGGGACCAGGCAACUUCGUCGGUCCAGUUUGAGUUGUAUUUAGGAUUUCAGGACUCAGCGUGCAAGCACUCAGUGCUAGGGCAGGUAACGUGCCAGUCCCGUUAAAUGGUAGGAAGUAGUUCAUGUCCUGUGUUUGUAUUUCCUGCCUUCAGGUUCCCAU